AAGUUAUGGAAUGCUAAAGUGGUAAGGCCAAAAAAAAAAAAAAAUGUUUUAAGAACUGCAUUUAUCCAAAAUAAAGGAGGUAUCAUGUAAACACAGUGAUUGUGUAGUGCAGGAUAUAAAGGAUUUAAGUUAAUCUGGGAGUAUUUACCCAUGUAUGAGGUAAAACAAAACCAAAACCAAAAAAAAUCAAUAAAAAUAAGAUAGUAUUUUUGUAACUGAGCUGAGCAACUUUUAUAAAUAAACAAGAAAACUUUAAUCGUAAUCCUGUAUAAUAUUUACAUUUGUAGAUUAAGUGAUGAAUUGUAUUAAUGUUGAUCAUAUUAAUUUUAGUAAAUAUCCUGAAACAUAUGCAAUACAUUUCGUGUAGGCCAGGCAGGAAGUCCACUUUGGUGUUUGGUGACGCAGCUCUGCCACCUUGAGGUCAUGAUAGUGACAUUGCAACUACAAUUUUGGUGAGACGUGCUCACUGUGCGCACAGUACACACUUUGAAAAUGGUGCUUUUAAUAUGGAAGACAGAGGGCCUUUUAAAAUAUUGAAAUUGCAUGUUUAUUACGUUUCUAUGCCUUAUGAGAUUUCUACCAUCUGAGCAGUGACGGAGCUGAAGACAGACACAUAAUGUGAGCUUACGGUAACCCAGGCGACAUGUCCCGUACGAACACGAGCUAUCUCUCUCAACUUCAGGACGACUCGUGCUGAUAUCUUCUAACAUGACGCAUCGAAUGUUAAAAAAUAAUUUUCUCUGUACCAUGCAAUCAAAUAUAUAGUCGUGCUUGAAUGCGACAGACGGGUGAGCGCUUUUACCUGAGUGACGAGAUGGACGGUCAGCUGAUCACUGUUUGACAGUAAGGCUGAUAUGUAAAUAUACCGAUUUUUUAUAUGUGUAUAAACAAGCUUUUUAUAGAAAUUGCAAUUACAUCAUGCCAGAAAGGCUACAGGUCAUCGGCCCCAUUCACUGUAUUGGGAUCCCUCACAGCAAAACUUCCAGGACAAGUCCAGUGUCAAAUUCCAAGACAGAGUCUCGGUACGGCCUGGAUCCUCAGCUUCUACCCAGUGUGGUCCAUGUGAUUAAAGAGGACAGGAUCCAGUUGGAGGAGAAAGUGUUUGUUUCAGAAUCCAAAUCUUCAGUUCCCCCUUUCUCCUCAACACAAUGCACCCUGGAGGACAGAGCUGCUGCCCAGUUUAGCCAUAUUAUCUUUUGACUUGAUAGAUUCACAUGAAAAAUAAAUGUGAUGCACCUGGCUUUUGUAUCA
ensembl:lncRNA